AGUGCUUGCGCUGUAACAAACAAUACCUCGAUCAACAUGAAAUACUUUUUGUCCCUGCUGUUGCUGGCCGUGGUGGUCUCCCUGGCGACGGCGAGCUACUCAUACUACACCUCGCCCGUCGUCUACUCCCCGCGCGUCUACCGCCCCUACGCCUACACCUACACCUACCCCACCUACUCCAACUACUACACCGGCUACCGCGGAUGGUGGUGAAUAAAAUGGUUGAAUUGUAAA